UCUUUUUAUCUCUCCGCCAUCCUCUGAUAUGGCGUAAUGAGUGAACACACUGAGCAAAGUGGGUGAGAGAAUGAUUGAGAAUAGUGAGGUACAUAAUUAACGUGCGUGCUCAUUAGACUAUCCCGUAGUAUAUAGAGGGAAAUCUAGUGUUUGUCAUGUUGCAAAUGGUCCAUAAUUUAACAAGUCAUAUGCUAUAUAAUGUAUGUAUGCAUGUAUCUAUCUCUUUAUUUUCUAUAUAUAUAUAUAUAUAUAUAUAUAUAUAUAUAUAUAUAUAAACUAAAUGAAAUUAGUUAAACAAAAUUAAUGUUUGCAACUGAAUUCAUACAAAACGAAAAUAAUUUUGAUUUGUUUUCCCCCAAAAAAUAUAUAGUAGGACAAGAAAGGAAAUACAAUGGGAGUAGCAGAGUGGGGCCACGUUGUCGUUUUGAUACAUAGAUCAUGAGAGUUAAGUGGGCAUGAUUAUAAUUAAUUCUGGAAAAAUGAUGAUGGUGAGGGUUGAAGUUGCAAUAAAUGUAUUGUACAACUAAUUAAGUAAAGAAGAAUUGAAAUUGAAACAGGAGGAACUAUUUUUGUACACAUGCAGCUAGAGCUAGCUAAACCAUAACUACUCAUCGAUCGUACUUGCUAAACAAGGUCAUGGUUAAAAAUAUUCCAAAAGAUAAAAGAAGAUCAAUAAAAUUAAAAACCAUAAAAAAUUCAUGGGGCGGGGGGUUAAUUAACCUAGCUAAGAAAUUAAGAAA
rnacentral:lncRNA from 1 species